AUGAAUGACCGGCGACCAGACCAUCAUUCCCCGGCCCCUGACCUCGUCCUUGCCCUCCCCUUUCUCCAUCCCUGUUGCCCCUCCUUCUCCUCCUCCUCCCUCCUCCUUCCCCCUCUUCCUCCUCACUCGCUCCCUCCUUCCUUCCUCCUCCUCCCUCCUCCGUUCCCUCUUCCUCCUCUUUCACCUCCUCCUCCUCCCCCUCUUCCUUCCUUCCUUCCAUCCACCUUUCCUUCCUUCCUUCCUUCCUUCCUUCCUUCCUUCCUUCCUUCCUUCCUUCCUUCCUUCCUUCCUCCUCCUUUCCUCUCCUCUCCCCUCCCUCCUCCUCCUCCUCCUUCCCUCCUCCUUCCUCUCCCUCCUUCCCUCCUUCCCUUCCUUCCCCUCUUCCUUCCUUCCUUCCUUCCUCCUCCCUCCUCCCUCCUCUUUCACCUCCUCCUCCUCCUCUUCCUCCUCCUUCCCCUCCCUCCUUCCCUCCUUCCUCUUCCUCCCUCCUUCCUCCUCCUUCCCCUCCCUCCUUCCCUUCCUUCCCUCUUCCCCUUCCUUCCUUCCUUCCUUCCUUCCUUCCUUCCUCCUCCCUCCUCCCUCCUCCUCCUCCUCUUCCUCCUCCUUCCCCUCCCUCCUUCCUCUUCCUCCCUCCUUCCUCCUCCUUCCCCUCUUCCUCCUCCUCCUUCCCCUCUUCCUCCUUCUCUCCUUCCUCCUCUUUCACCUCCUCCUCCCUCCUUCUCCUCUUGCUCCUCCUCCUCCUCCUCCUCCCCCCGUCCCUCGGGGUCCGGGCUCCCGUCCGGGAAGGGGGGGGGGGGAGGGGCGUGUCCUGCCGGCCCCCGCGCAUGCGCCGUCCCCCUCCGGUCCCCCGGUCCCCGCCCCUCCCCCGGCCCGGGCGCAGUCCGGGCGCGGUCCCCGGGGGUCCGGAUCCCCCCCGACCCCCGGCCGUCCGGCCGCCCCCCACACAGCCCGAAGACCGCACGGGACGGGACGGGACAGGACGGGCCGGGCCGGACCGCAGGGACCCCGACGGCCAGCCCGGGACCCGCCCCGGAGAACGCACGCCUCCAUUGGACGACGAGCCCCCCGAGAAGCCACGCCCCCUGGGAAGCCUCGCCACCCCAUUGGACGCCGCGCCCCGGGAAGCCACGCCUCCAUCGGAAGCCACGCCCCCUGCGGAGCCGCGCCCCCGAGGAGCCGCGCCUCCAUUGGACGCCACGCCCCGGGAAGUCACGCCCCCUGCGAGGCCACGCCCCCUGCGUAGCCACGCCCCCCCCGAGGAGCCGGGCUGCCAUUGGACGCCGCGCCCCGGGAAGCCCCGCCCCCAUUGGAAGCCACGCCCCGGGAGGCCGCGCCUCAUUGGACGUCACGCCCCUGGAAGCCACGCCCCCUGGAAUCCACACCCCCAUUGGACGCCGCGCCCUGGAGAAGCCUUGGGGACGCCCCCUGGGAAGCCUCGCCCCCAUUGGAAGCCUCGCCCCUUGCAAACCACGCCCCCCAGGAAGCCACGCCCCUUGA
rnacentral:lncRNA from 1 species